CUCAGGGGCUACAUCCUCAUGAGGACCUCUGGACUCAAAGAUAUUACCUGGCGUCCCCAUAUCCCAGGCUCUCAAGGACCAGGGCCCACACAGACUUGGAUAUCUUUGUGUGCUUCUCGGGGCCCUCGGAAGGGCGUCAGUGUGGUUUCCGUGAGCCCAAGGACAGAGGUUCUUGCUCACAAGGAUUGGUGUUUGCUUUUACAUGGACAGCCCGGACCACCUGGAACCAAGUGCACAGAAGCCCCGCCAUCCCCGGGCCUCCCAGCCCCGUCCUGGGAGGCGAACUCGCUUUGCCUUCCCACCCUCCAGGCCGACUCACUGUGCGCUGCUCUCUGGGUCCCACCCACUGUCCCACCGACUUCGUUGGUCUAAAAAUAUGCUCUGGCGUCUUGUUGGAAAGCAGCAGGAAUGAUGGGCCCUGCUGAUAAGGUGAAGAAAGUGACCCGACGGGGCAAACUUACGGAUGGGACAUGCUUUGGCAAAAUACCAAAACAGCAGGACCUGAAGGCUGGCUCCCCAUGCGUCCUCGAGGCCUUGUGCCAGGAAGAGGACCCUCGGGCUUAGGGAAGUGAAAACCAGGCUCGGGUCCCUCACCCAGUCCCUUCUGCCCGCUUUGGGAGGGAGCCCAAGAAGUCAGCUAGGGAGGGACCUCCUGGCGG
rnacentral:lncRNA from 1 species